rnacentral:rRNA from 1 species
AUUGAACGCUGGCGGAUUGCUUUACACAUGCAAGUCGAACGGCAGCACGGACUUCGGUCUGGUGGCGAGUGGCGAACGGGUGAGUAAUGUAUCGGAACGUGCCCAGUCGUGGGGGAUAACGUAGUGAAAAUUACGCUAAUACCGCAUACGAUCUAUGGAUGAAAGCGGGGGAUCGCAAGACCUCGCGCGAUUGGAGCGGCCGAUAUCAGAUUAGGUAGUUGGUGGGGUAAAGGCCCACCAAGCCAACGAUCUGUAGCUGGUCUGAGAGGGCGACCAGCAACACUGGAACUGGGACACGGUCCAGACUCCGACGGGAGGCAGCAGUGGGGAAUUUUGGACAAUGGGCGAAAGCCUGAUCCAGCCAUUCCGCGUGCAGGAUGAAGGCCCUCGGGUUGUAAACUGCUUUUGUACAGAACGAAAAGGUUUCUACUAAUACUAGGAGCUCAUGACGGUACUGUAAGAAUAAGCACCGGCUAACUACGUGCCAGCAGCCGCCGUAA